UGCCCUGUCGUUCAAUUGGUAGGACACAUGACUCUGGCUCAUGCGAUCUUGGUUCGAGCCCAGGCGGGGCAG
rnacentral:tRNA from 1 species